CCUACGGGUGGCUGCAGUAGGGAAUAUUGGACAAUGGGCGCAAGCCUGAUCCAGCCAUGCCGCGUGAGUGAAGAAGGCCCUCGGGUUGUAAAGCUCUUUUGUCCGGAAAGAAAAGCGCCGGGUUAAUACCCUGGUGUCCUGACGGUACCGGAAGAAUAAGCACCGGCUAACUUCGUGCCAGCAGCCGCGGUAAUACGAAGGGUGCAAGCGUUACUCGGAAUUACUGGGCGUAAAGCGUGCGUAGGUGGUUCGUUAAGUCCGAUGUGAAAGCCCUG
rnacentral:rRNA from 1 species